AAGGAGUGACAGAAAUGAGACAUGACAGAAAUCCAUCAUCCAACACCCUUGGAUUCAGAGGACAAAUCCAUCACCUGUGGCUUUCUGGACUUUGAGACAAAU